UUUUCCGUCGCACGUGUGUCAGACGAAAGGCGGCAGUAGGGGAUAGCGGGGCCGCCCUAUAAAUACGUCAAUACCGCUCGGGCGGCUCGGUUCUUCUCCUUCUCCACUCCAAUCCAUGGAGAACGACGACGCCAUGAGAGGUCCACCGAGCUUCGUCAUAGGAUCGAUCGCGAACGGAGGGGUUUCUUUGAUGCACAUUGUCUCUCCGGCUCUCUGUCCGUUAGAGUUGCGUCCGUUGUCUCAUUAACAACGAUAUUUCGCUCUGUUUUCGAAUGAUUUGAUCGCCCAGAAUCGCUGGCAAUGGUUCGUUUUGGUCCGAUCUGGCGUUUAUGUAAUGUGCAUCGUCUCUCAUCUAUUGGAAUUGGGUGUUUGGAUCCAUCUCUCAUCGAACAAUGAUGCUUCUCUCACUUCUAUCUCGAUCCGAUGUUCUGAUCACCAAGAAUCGCCGGUAGUGGUUCGUUUUGCCAAUCUGACAGGCAUGUGGUGUUACUAUCUGAACAUGAUCAUUAGUUUCUUGACAUUAUCUUAUGUCUCACUUACAGUUUUUUUGUUUUCUUCUGAGUUACUGUAAAGGUUGCCUCCGGAUGCAACUAAUGAGAUAUUCCACAACCAAUGUGACAGGUUGCCUCCGGAUGCAACUAAUGGGACAUUAAAUUGGUAAUGUCGAUGCUAACUCUGUGAUUCUUGGAAAGAUAAUGAGAUAACUGAUUUAGAAUGCAUUAGAAAGUAUCAUUAGGAAGGAACGUGCCUUUCAGUUUGUUGUGCCUGAGAACUGUUGUUUUGGUCGCCAUCAACAGAUUUGAAAAAGGUUGUUUUCUGUCCGAGUUCAGCAAACAUUGUUGAGACACGGUUCAUUGCAGUUGACUUUUACCUAGCAAUGAUAGAAGGAGAACCUCAAGUUUGUUUUCAGCUACAGCAUGGCAGUUCAACUUCAGUGCACGGUUCUCUGCCAUUAUACCCAAUGAACUAAAUAAUGAGGACCACAUCAUCAGGAAUGUAGGCAAAGCACAUGGAUGACAGGAUAAUAUUUAUCAUAAGUAUGAAAAGCACGAAGCUACAAAGGUACUUUAUUGUAGGGUACCUUGAACCAUUUAAAACUUGGGGAAGUUUGGGUUUGGAAAUAAAAUCUAUGGGAAUUACCUCUUUGUCUCUUAAAUAUCCCACUGUUGGGAAUAAGCGAGAAUAUAGCAAAAAUUGUGUUUGGUUUAAAAUCCUUCACUCUGUGCAACAAGAAUUGUGCUUUCCCUACAGCUUAAUGACAGUAUUGCAGAGUUCAGAGGAUUUCCCACUUUGCAAUUGAACAAAGACCAGACCAAUUAUAUUGGCGGUGGAGUCCAAAUGGCGUCUUCUCGGUAAAUUCGACCUAUUUAGCAUUGUCUGACGGGGGAACAAGGGACCCACUUGUUAGUAAAAUUUGGAGACUUCAUAUCCCACUUAAAGUUAAAGUGUUUUGUUAGCUCGUUCUUAAGAAGAAGCUUCCUACAACCGACUUACUUGCGAAGCGCGGAUGGGUGGGAAAUGCUGAUUGUGUGCUUUGCGGCUCGGAAGAGAAAUCAGUGGAUCAUCUAUUCACUAGGUGCGUCUUUACUAAGUUCACUAUCGUGAUGGGUGUGGACGGCGUUCAGGCGAGAGACCUGGGAAGCGAUGCUAUUCUAGCCUGGGCCUCUUGGAUGGCCAAGAAAGGACGCCAUAAGACGAGAAGCAACCUAUCCGAAUUAGUAGGAUGCUGGUGGUCCAUUUGGAAGGCUAGAAAAGACUCAAUCUUUAGAAGUAUACACUCGAACCCUUUGCUUGUAACAUACAAGCUUAAGCAGCUGCCGAAGGAGUUGGAUUAUCUUAUUCCAGUAAGGCAAACUUCUUUGUCCUUUUAACCCUACUCUUGUAACAUACCCUUCUUCUUCUUCUUUUUCCGAGUCCCUGGUUGCCUCACUCCUGUAGCCUAGUUCAUACUCCUUAUGAAUGAAGCGGGUAGCAUGCUACCUUUUUCUCAAAAAAAAAAAGAAUUGUGCUUUGUUGUCAACCAUGGUUAUAGUGUUAAAUGUUUGGGAGCCUUUUCUAGGUGAAGGAUGUAUUAAUAAAUAAAACUGAGGAUUCAGUUUCAGUUGUUUAUUUAUUGUUGAGUUGAAGAGUUGUAAAUGACAGCGCGAGGGGUGAAACAUAUUUUGAUUUAAAUAUAGUAAAUGAUGAACAACUAAGAUUGAAUCUUUAA